AGGGCUAUAGCUCAGUUGGUAGAGCACCUCGUUUACAGUUUACACACCGAGAAAGUCUACGGUUCGAGUCCGUAUAGCCCUA
rnacentral:tRNA from 1 species